UACGAGGGGGGCUAGCGUUGCUCGGAAUCACUGGGCGUAAAGCGCACGUAGGCGGAUUGCUAAGUCAGGGGUGAAAUCCUGGAGCUCAACUCCAGAACUGCCUUUGAUACUGGCGACCUUGAGUCCGGGAGAGGUGAGUGGAACUGCGAGUGUAGAGGUGAAAUGCGUAGAGAUCGGGAGGAACACCAGAGGCGAAGGCGGCGACCUGGACAGAUACUGACACUCAACUACGAAAGCGUGGGGAGCAAACAGG
rnacentral:rRNA from 1 species